GGCGCGGUAGCAAAGCGGUUAUGCACCGGAUUGCAAAUCCGUUUAGCCCGGUUCGACUCCGGCCGCGCCUCCA
rnacentral:tRNA from 1 species